rnacentral:misc_RNA from 1 species
GAAUUUGAUGCCAUGUUUGUGGGUAUGUUUUUGAAUCUCUAUUCCUAUUAUCUGCAAUUGGUUCUUUGUAGAUUAGUUGUGGGUUCUUUUGUGUUAUUCAAGGCAGUUCCUGGAUUCUGGAUGUUAAAAGAACACGAAAUUUACGGUCCUAUUUUAGAUACAGUGAUUAUUGGUUGCUAGGUGUGUUUAUAUGAUGUUUUCGG